AUGUGGUGGUACACAAAGGAAAGACAGGACAAACUGUGCCCAUGCAGAGCUUACAAUCUAGUUGGAGGGCAAGAGCACAAGCAGACUGAUCAGGGAGAAAUGCUGACAACACACGACUGUGGUACAGACAGAAUGGAGAGGCUCAGCGCAGUUCUGGAGUAUCAGGCUGCUCGGAGGAGGAGGGUUGGACUAAUGGCUUCUCAGAAGAAGAUUUAUCAUUUGUCAGAUUCUUUUUGUUUGUUUGUUUGUUUUUUUUUUUUUUUUGGUUUUUCUCCGGUACCGGGAACCGAACUCAUGACCUUGCGCUUGCCAGGCAGGUGCUUUUUGCCGCUGAGCUAAAUCCCCAGCCCCCUGUCAGAUUCUUUUUGAAUAUGUCCACAUGCCAGAACUCUGCAAGGGUCUGAAACUACGGAGAGCAAUGAGAC
rnacentral:lncRNA from 1 species